UACAGAGGUCUCAAGCGUUGUUCGGAUUCAUUGGGCGUAAAGGGCGCGUAGGCGGUCAGCACAGGUCAGUUGUGAAAUCUCCGGGCUUAACUCGGAAAGGUCAACUGAUACUGUGCGACUAGAGUGCAGAAGGGGCAACUGGAAUUCUCGGUGUAGCGGUGAAAUGCGUAGAUAUCGAGAGGAACACCUGCGGCGAAGGCGGGUUGCUGGGCUGACACUGACGCUGAUGCGCGAAAGCCAGGGGAGCGAACGGG
rnacentral:rRNA from 1 species